UAAACUAACAUCACCUCUCUAUAAUGGGAUCCCAUGACUGCUAGUCUUUCGGCUGGGGCGACCACGGAGAAUAAUAAAACCCCCGAGAUGAAAGGAAAUAUCCUUAUCCUAGAACUACUAUUCUAAGAAUCAACAAAUGACAUUAUUGACCCAAUACUUGAUCAACGAACCAAGCUACCCUGGGGAUAACAGCGCAAUCC
rnacentral:rRNA from 1 species